rnacentral:rRNA from 1 species
CUGGUAGCGGGGGAUAACUAUUGGAAACGAUAGCUAAUACCGCAUAAGAGUAGAUGUCGCAUGACAUUUGCUUAAAAAGGUGCAAUUGCAUCACUACCAGAUGGACCUGCGUUGUAUUAGCUAGUUGGUGAGGUAACGGCUCACCAAGGCAACGAUACAUUGCCGACCUGAGAGGGUGAUCGGCCACACUGGGACUGAGACACGGCCCAGACUCCUACGGGAGGCAGCAGUAGGGAAUCUUCGGCAAUGGACGGAAGUCUGACCGAGCAACGCCGCGUGAGUGAAGAAGGUUUUCGGAUCGUAAAGCUCUGUUGUAAGAGAAGAACGAGUGUGAGAGUGGAAAG